ACUGAGGCCUAUCUCCAUAGCUUUCCUAGUAACCACACACUACUGAAGACACCUCAUACUGUAUCUGCGGUUUUGCUUGGCUCAUGGGAAUAUUUCUUCAGUUUGUAGGAAGAACUACAAGACAGUU
rnacentral:snoRNA from 1 species